GCCCUCUGAUUGGCUGCAGAGCAUGAGACAGUGCGAGAGGAGGCACAUAAAUACAGAGUGGAGUUGCAGAGUCACUAUCGAAUACGCUCUUAGCAUAAGCUGAGCUAAGACCAGCAGCAACACAGCAGAACAGAGGAGCUAUCAGAACACUAACUCCAGACCACCAUCAAGACCUAGCAAGAUCAACAUCUCUACUUGAUUUCCGAGCUGCAAACUCAAGGCCAACAUCUGAAAAUGCCUGCCUAUUUGGACAUUGCUCUUCAGGGCAGCAUGAAUGUGAAAGAUCAGCACAUUAGAUGUAAACUCUCUCUGUUGGAGAGGAAGUGCAGCAGCGGUGUGGAGAAACUGAAGAUAGUUAUUGGAGAACACCUACAGAACGGGAUCUCUACAUCUCCCAUAUCUCCUAUUCUGGAGAAAACCGUGUCAUUUUUCACUCCCAAGAAGGUCUUGCUGUCACCCACUGGCUAUUCCAAAUAUUCCAGGGACAUGCUGCGUCUCUUUCCCACUCCAGAGGAGGACAUUGUACCACUCUGCUUCGAACAAUGAACUGAUAGAUGCAUGGACGUGGAGGUUACCAUUCAGAGCUCACAGACCCUGCUGUAAUUAACUGUGGCUUUGGCUUAAUGAAUUCUCUUGUGAUGCUGCUAUAGACAGACUGCAACUGAUUGGCAGAUAUUGGAUCGCAACUGACAGAGAGACAUAGCUAAAUGAAUAAUAUUUUUUUAAUACAUUUUGUCUAAAAGUACAAUGAUUUUGUGAAGCUUAGUUUUGUGUAUGUUGCAAAUUCUCUAGAAAUGAUUUGGAAAUGCAUUGCAUGCAUUGUUAUAAGCAGUUGUACUGCUCUAUCCUUUCCCUGAGAAAGUCACCUUUGGAUGAAUUUGUUGAUCUAUGUUACCUGAAAGAGAGCGGAGUUGGUUACUCUGAUUGUAAACACUUGUCCUCAGAGUUUGAAAUACAGAGUGCUGGCCACUCUUGUUAUAAAGUAGAAGUAUUGAAAAUAUGACCAUUGGUUUAUCCCACUUUCUUAGGGUAUGUGAGUCAAUGUAUAAUUUGAACCCUGUUUUCCUUUAUACUAAUGGGAAAUGCUAUGAUUUUAAUGUUAAAGCAUAUUGUUUAUUUUGUUUUCAAUUACUUAUUAAUGGCUUCACACAUACACAAAUGUGCCUAAAGGGUUUUCAAAUGUGCCUAACAUGUUUCAUUCAAAGACUAAAUAAAUAUUUUGAUAAUA